rnacentral:rRNA from 1 species
UACGUAGGGGGCAAGCGUUGUCCGGAAUCAUUGGGCGUAAAGAGCGUGUAGGCGGCCUGACAGGUCUGCUGUGAAAACUCGAGGCUCAACCUCGAGAUGUCGGCGGAAACCGUCUGGCUAGAGUCCGGAAGAGGAGAGUGGAAUUCCUGGUGUAGCGGUGAAAUGCGCAGAUAUCAGGAGGAACACCGGUGGCGAAGGCGGGUCUCUGGGCCGGAACUGACGCUGAGGAGCGAAAGCGUGGGGAGCGAACAGG